rnacentral:rRNA from 1 species
ACGCGAGUGGAUGCCAAUCCCCAAAACCUCUCUCAGUUCGGACUGGAGUCUGCAACCCGACUCCACGAAGCUGGAUUCGCUAGUAAUCGCGCAUCAGCCACGGCGCGGUGAAUACGUUCCCGGGCCUUGUACACACCGCCCGUCAAGCCAUGGGAGCCGGGGGUACCUGAAGUGCGUAACCGCGAGGAGCGCCCUAGGGUAAAACUGGUGACUGGGGCUAAGUCGUAACAAGGUAAC